UUUCCAUAUUACUUCCUUUUUCACAAUCUGCAGGGUGGCUUAGAGUAGACAGGUCGAUGGCGAUAAUCUUAACUGGUCUAGUAAUAGCUCAUCAGGUUUAUUAGACUAUAAAGUUUGUUUUUUCGGUGUUCUUUUGUUUUCUAUAUGUCAGCCUCUAAUUUAAUGGUUGUCAUUGACACAUUUAGUGACAUCCUUCUGUUGUGAGCUCAUCAUCUCUUCCAUGAAAAUCGCAGUGAGGCUGAGCAGCAUGCAACAAGCCCUGGAGGUGGAUGUCGGUCCAUCGCGGCGCACUUGAGCACACAUUCGCACUCGCUGUCACUCGACCAAUUUGAAACAAAUGACUUGUGGAGCUGCGACAGACACAUCGAUGCCACAUUCUGUUUGGAUGCAAAGUCCAUUUUCAAAAUUUGCUGCUAUGUUUCUUGCGCACAAGUUUGACUGAGGUGUGUUUUCGCACUCUGCUGUGUCAACGAGGAGAUUUAAGGUCAAAGAUGGCUUUUUCAUCCAAGCAGGAAAGAAGAGCAAGACAUAAAGGCCAGUCUACUGUCUUCUUCCUUGGGCAGCUGUUCUUCAGUAUGCCGUGAACCCCAGCUUUUUGUCAGUUUGGUGUGAGAACAUCCUGAACUUCACCCUGAUAC